rnacentral:lncRNA from 1 species
AAGACAACCAGAUGACUAUCCAAAAUAACAUCAAAUAACAUUCAGGUUCAAACUUGACGAACACUGCGUGAAACCUGGGAAAGAGAUCAAAACCAGAUGGAUAUUCUUAGAGCAGCAGGAGGUUGCAUGGUAUUUAGAGAAUCACCACGAAGGAUUUGCUUUCCUUUUUUAACACCUUUCUUCCCAAUUUCCAUAGGUCUGGAAAAAAUGAAACCAAGGCACGUGCUACAGGGAACCAUGCAAUCCACAUACUUGAAGGCAAUGAUGUCAAAUUGCCUGAGAUGGAAAUAGCUGUGAUCUUGAAUGGAAUUUACAGCUGUGUUAGAAAAUGAUUCUAUUUUCAUCUAACUCGUUUUAAAGAUCGAGAAAUGUAGAAAUGGCUUGCCUUCUCAUUUCAGUCCUCCACCAAUUACCAAACAUUCAGAAAGCUAGGGAUAUAAAUAUUAGAUUGUCUCUUCCUUGUGCUUGAGAAUGAGAAAUGUAACAAGAACAACAACAGCAACAGGAAGAACAACAACCCCUCACCUGUGAAAUGCAUCUUCAAGAGGCCAUGCUUUUCAGGGAAGGACUGGCAAGUAAGGGCAACUGCUUAACACCUUAUACUCUGGCCAUUGUUUGUGUUCAGAAUCAUGUUGACCUUCCUCUCUCUCUCUCCUAUGGGAAAAGAUACUGUGAUAGCUUCACUUCUUGUGGAGGUCAAAAGAAGUAUGUGAAUGGAGGGAGUGGGUAAGCAGCACUGAACCGGGUGUAGGGAGAGCAACCAAGAAUUGGAAGGGCUUGAAAAGUUAAACAACGCUCCCCACUUUCGUCUUCAACUGAAGAGUCUAGCCUCCCAAAAGAUACAUGCAACUGUGUGUCACAUGUCAUGCAUCUGCCUUUAAGGCUGACACUAAGGGAUGAAAGGUGGAAUUACAGUAAAUACAGAAGUGUUCAAACUUUAAAUGGAACACACCAGACUUGAAGCGGCCUCUCAAAGUGCGAACAUUUUGGCCAUUAAUUAUUAAUUGGAGCUGGCAGCUCAUUUGAAAGUUUGAAUCUAAUGACAAGAUUCCUUAGGAGAUAAAUACCGCUGCAGCCUUGUGUAU